rnacentral:rRNA from 1 species
AGAGUUUGAUCCUGGCUCAGAACGAACGUUGGCGGCGUGGAUUAGGCAUGCAAGUCGAACGAAUCCCAAGGGUGUAGCAAUACAUCCGAGGGGGAAGUGGCGAAAGGGGCAGUAAGGCGUGGGUAACCUACCCCGGGGACCGGGAUAGCUCUUCUAACGAGGAGGUAAUACCGGGCGAUCUGGCUCAGGGGCAUCUCUGG